rnacentral:rRNA from 1 species
CAGCCGCCGCGGUAAUACGAAGGGGGCUAGCGUUGUUCGGAAUUACUGGGCGUAAAGCGCACGUAGGCGGAUAUUUAAGUCAGGGGUGAAAUCCCAGAGCUCAACUCUGGAACUGCCUUUGAUACUGGUAUCUUGAGUAUGGAAGAGGUGAGUGGAAUUCCGAGUGUAGAGGUGAAAUUCGUAGAUAUUCGGAGGAACACCAGUGGCGAAGGCGGCUCACUGGUCCAUUACUGACGCUGAGGUGCGAAAGCGUGGGGAGCAAACAGGAUUAGAUACCCCGGUAGUCCCUGUCUCUUAUACA